GAUCCUGCCAGUAGUCAUAUGCUUGUCUCAAAGACUAAGCCAUGCAUGUCUAAGUCCAAGCUGUGUUUACACGGCGAGACCGCGGACGGCUCAUUAAAUCAGUCGUGGUCCAAAUGGGACAGUCCUUGCUACUUGGAUAACUGUGGUAAUUCCAGAGCUAAUACGUGCAACUAUACCCUGAGUUGUAGGAGCUUGCCUCCAACGACGACGGGUGCUUUUAUUAGACCAAACUACUGGGCGUUCUCUCCGGAGAGCGAGACUCAUUGUGUGGUGACUCUGGAUAACCUUUGACAAGCGAACGUACCACUCCUUGAGUCGGACGGCGCUUCCACUUUCGAGUGUCUGCCUUAUCAGCUGUCAACCGCUCGCUAUACGCGACCGAUGGCUUUGACGGGUAACGGGGAAUCAGGGUUCGAUUCCGGAGAGGCAGCCUGAGAGACGGCUACCACGUCCAAGGACGGCAGCAGGCACGCAAAUUACCCAAUCCCAGCACAUGGGGGAGGUAGUGACGAAACCUAACGAUGCGGGCGCCCUCUACGGGCCCCGCAAUCGGAAUGAGCGCUUUCUAAACAACCCGUUGAGAACCUACUGAAGGGCAAGUCUGGUGCCAGCAGCCGCG
rnacentral:rRNA from 1 species